GUUUAAACUAAAAUGAUAUAGAUCUACAAUAAAACAGUCUUUAAAAAACAUAAAGGGGAAUGAGGUACGGCAAAACCAAAUACAAGACAUAAAAAGGAAUCAGUCAGUUUUGUACAAUUGUAUCGAAUCGAUUAAGAAGAAACUAACCAAUACAGAAAACAAACAAAAAACUGAGGAAUCAUUCUACUAAUAUAACUUUAUUAGAAACAAAUUUUACGCCAACAAUUAUGGCAUGCCUGAAUAGAAAAGAGUUUUCAAACCUUGUUCACGUAAUUGUAUAAAAUAGGGUAGAAACGUGGUAUCAAUGUUGAAGUUAUAUAAGACUUGUACAAAGAUAGCUCUGCUAAACAAUUUGUUCACCUUCUUUUUAGACGAAUCAUCUACUACAAUCUCAAGCCAAAGCGUAAUUGCAACAAAGACGAUGGGGAAAGAUUCUAGCGUCAGCUUUGAUAUAGGUCCAGUAAUUGGUGGUAUUGCAGGUGGAAUCGCAUUUUUAGCUGUUUUGGUUGUGAUAAUUUUCUGCAAAAUAAGGUCAUGUGGAUUUUUUAAAUCGGCUAAUACGGAUAAGCAAGAAGUCCAAUUCUCCACCGAGUUCUACGAGCAUUCACAAAAUCCAGAAGUUAGAACAAGUGAGACGCCAAUUUCUAACCAAUCAUAUGGCUUAGCUCCAAUCAAUUCAAGCAACACGUAUGCAGUCGUAAAUAAAUUAAAAAGAACGGACUCCAAACAACUGAGGACACUUAUACUGAAACAUCAUACGGAGAAUAUGAUCGAUUAAAUGCUGUAUCAAAACGGAGAACAGAUUCAAAGAC